rnacentral:rRNA from 1 species
AGUGAACGCUGGCGGUAGGCCUAACACAUGCAAGUCGAACGGCAGCACAGGAGAGCUUGCUCUCUGGGUGGCGAGUGGCGGACGGGUGAGGAAUACAUCGGAAUCUACUCUGUCGUGGGGGAUAACGUAGGGAAACUUACGCUAAUACCGCAUACGACCUACGGGUGAAAGCAGGGGAUCUUCGGACCUUGCGCGAUUGAAUGAGCCGAUGUCGGAUUAGCUAGUUGGCGGGGUAAAGGCCCACCAAGGCGACGAUCCGUAGCUGGUCUGAGAGGAUGAUCAGCCACACUGGAACUGGGACACGGUCCAGACUCCUACGGGAGUCAGCAGUGGGGAAUAUUGGACAAUGGGCGCAAGCCUGAUCCAGCCAUACCGCGUGGGUGAAGAAGGCCUUCGGGUUGUAAAGCCCUUUUGUUGGGAAAGAAAUCCAUCUGGUUAAUACCCGGGUGGGAUGACGGUACCCAAAGAAUAAGCACCGGCUAACUUCGUGCCAGCAGCCGCCGUAA